CCUUCAUCGGAGAAGUGACCAGAU
rnacentral:siRNA from 1 species